GGUUCCACCAAGGCGUUCAAAACCAUUAGACUUUCCUUUCUCCUUGGAGACACUUGUACCGUUAAAUGCACACAAAAAUAACACAAUUGUGCUUGCUGCUGCGGGAUAUAGUUACAAGGACAUGCUAAUGAGCUGGGUGUGCAGAUUGCUGCCAAUUGCAAAUCACAAAUUUUAUCAUUUGUGCCCUUGACAAGGAAAUAUACGAGUUUGCUGUCUUGCAGGAAGUUUCGAUAUUUACUCUGUGUGAAGUUUCGGGCCUACCUGUUUUCAGGGAUCCAUUAGCUCCGAGUGAGAUCAGCAGCGAUUGCCACUUUGGAACAAAAUGUUUUCAGAAGGUGACCAAAGUGAAGUCCCGAAUGGUUUUGAAGAUACUGACGCUGGGUUACAACGUGCUUCUUAGAGAUGUGGAUGUAUAUUGGUUUGGAAAUCCGCUGCCAUUGCUCUACUCUCUUUGCCCUGCUAUUCUUGUCGUUCAAUCUGAUGAAUUCAACACGACAGGACCAAUUAACGUACCUAGGCGCUUGAACUCUGGCUUUUACUUUGCCCGUCCUGGUAGUUCGACAAUCAAUGCUAUGAAGAAGGUGGUGGCACAUGCACCAACUUCGGGUCUAUCUGAGCAGCCGCUUCUACGACACGCUAUGUGGAGAAGGGGGUUCCAAUCGUGUGGGUGACAAUAAAUGCUUGGAACCUGAAACAAAUGUGACUGUCCAUUUCUUGGACAGAGAUCCCUUCCCAAAUGGCGCAUAUCUGGACCUGUGGCAGAGG